rnacentral:rRNA from 1 species
AUUGAACGCUGGCGGUAUGCUUAAGACAUGCAAGUCGAACGGUAACAGGUUAAGCUGACGAGUGGCGGACGAGUGAGUAACGCGUGGGAAUCUACCUUGUAGUGGGGGAUAAGCCAGGGAAACUUGGACUAAUACCGCAUACGCCCUAAGGGGAAAGGCGCAAGUCGCUAUAAGAUGAGCCCGCGUCUGAUUAGGUAGUUGGUGGGGUAAAGGCCUACCAAGCCGACGAUCAGUAGCUGGUCUGAGAGGAUGAUCAGCCACGUCGGGACUGAGACACGGCCCGGACUCCUACGGGAGGCAGCAGUCGGGAAUAUUGGACAAUGGGGGAAACCCUGAUCCAGCAAUACCGCGUGUGUGAAGAAGGCCUGCGGGUUGUAAAGCACUUUCAGUUGGGAAGAUAAUGACGUUACCAACAGAAGAAGCACCGGCUAACUCCGUGCCAGCAGCCGCGGUAAGGUGACGCUCU